rnacentral:rRNA from 1 species
CCUACGGGUGGCAGCAGUGGGGAAUAUUGCACAAUGGGCGAAACCCUGAUGCAGCGACGCCGCGUGAGUGAGGACGUAUUUCGGUAUGGAAAGCUCUAUCAGCCGGGGAGAAAAUGACGGUACCUGACUAAGAAGCCCCGGCUAACCACGUGCCAGCAUCCGCGGUAAUACGUAGGGGGCAAGCGUUAUCCGGAUUUACUGGGUGUAAAGGGAGCGUAGACGGGUAAUCAAGUCAGAAGUGAAGACCUAGGGCUCAAAUUUGGGACUGCUUUUGAAACUGAGUAGCUAGAGUGCAGGAGAGGUAAGCGGAAUUCGUAGUGUAGCGGUGAAAUGCGUAGAUAUUAGGAGGAACACCAGUGGCGAAGGCGGCUUACUGGACUGUAACUGACGUUGAGGCUCGAAAGCGUGGGGAGCAAACAGGAUUAGAUACCCCAGUAGUC